rnacentral:rRNA from 1 species
GCAAGUCGAGCGAACAGAUAAGGAGCUUGCUCCUCUGACGUUAGCGGCGGACGGGUGAGUAACACGUGGAUAACCUACCUAUAAGACUGGGAUAACUUCGGGAAACCGGAGCUAAUACCGGAUAAUAUAUUGAACCGCAUGGUUCAAUAGUGAAAGACGGUUUUGCUGUCACUUAUAGAUGGAUCCGCGCCGCAUUAGCUAGUUGGUAAGGUAACGGCUUACCAAGGCAACGAUGCGUAGCCGACCUGAGAGGGUGAUCGGCCACACUGGAACUGAGACACGGUCCAGACUCCUACGGGAGGCAGCAGUAGGGAAUCUUCCGCAAUGGGCGAAAGCCUGACGGAGCAACGCCGCGUGAGUGAUGAAGGUCUUCGGAUCGUAAAACUCUGUUAUUAGGGAAGAACAAAUGUGUAAGGGGGGGGGGCACGUCUUGACGGUACCUAAUCAGAAAGCCACGGCUAACUACGUGCCAGCAGCCGCGGUAAUACGUAGGUGGCAAGCGUUAUCCGGAAUUAUUGGGCGUAAAGCGCGCGUAGGCGGUUUUUUAAGUCUGAUGUGAAAGCCCACGGCUCAACCCGUGGAGGGUCAUUGGAAACUGGAAAACUU